UUGUUGACACAUAUUUUACAACAGACCAAUACUACAGAGCCAACUGCGAUCCAUACACAGGUGCUCAGAAGGCUUCCUAUCAUCCUUGGGGACAACCACAAAAAGUUGUUCAAAGCAGGCUUUGC